UACAGAGGUCUCAAGCGUUGUUCGGAUUCAUUGGGCGUAAAGGGUGCGUAGGUGGCGCCGUAAGUCAGGUGUGAAAUUUCGGAGCUUAACUCCGAAACUGCAUUUGAUACUGCGGUGCUUGAGGACUGGAGAGGAGACUGGAAUUCACGGUGUAGCAGUGAAAUGCGUAGAUAUCGUGAGGAAGACCAGUGGCGAAGGCGGGUCUCUGGACAGUUCCUGACACUGAGGCACGAAGGCCCAGGGGGAGCAAAACCGGGG
rnacentral:rRNA from 1 species